rnacentral:rRNA from 1 species
CUUUCUUUGCUGGCGACCGGCGCACGGGUGAGUAACACGUAUCCAACCUGCCCUUUACUCGGGGAUAGCCUUUCGAAAGAAAGAUUAAUACCCGAUAGCAUAAUGAUUCCGCAUGGUUUCAUUAUUAAAGGAUUCCGGUAAAGGAUGGGGAUGCGUUCCAUUAGGUUGUUGGUGGGGUAACGGCCCACCAAGCCUUCGAUGGAUAGGGGUUCUGAGAGGAAGGUCCCCCACAUUGGUACUGAGACACGGACCAA